UACGUAGGGUGCAAGCGUUGUCCGGAAUUAUUGGGCGUAAAGGGCUCGGAGGCGGUUUGUCGCGUCGGGAGUGAAAACCCAGGGCUUAACCCUGGGCUGGCUUCCGAUACGGGCAGACUAGAGGUAUGCAGGGGAGAACGGAAUUCCUGGUGUAGCGGUGAAAUGCGCAGAUAUCAGGAGGAACACCGGUGGCGAAGGCGGUUCUCUGGGCAUUACCUGACGCUGAGGAGCGAAAGUGUGGGAGCGAACAGG
rnacentral:rRNA from 1 species